rnacentral:rRNA from 1 species
AGCGAACGCUGGCGGCAUGCUUAACACAUGCAAGUCGCGCGGGUGGUUUCGGCCAUCAGCGGCGGACGGGGGAGUAUCGCGGAGGAAUGUAUCCCGAGGUGGGGGACAACCCUGGGGAACUGGGGCUAAUACCGCAUGGGACCAGUGGGUCAAAGCCUUAGGUCGCCGUGGGGGCAGCCUUCGUCCGAUUGGGUAGUUGGUGGGGUAAUGGCAUACCAAGGCUGCGAUCGGUAGCUGGUCUGAGAGGACGAUCCGCCACGCUGGGACUGAGGCACGGCCCAGACUGCUACGCAGGGCAGCAGUAGGGAAUACUAGAGGAUGAGCGCAAGCCUGAUCCCGCAAUGCGGCGUAGGUGGAGAAUGGCUUCGGAUUGUGCUGCCCCUUCGGACGGAACGAGGGUGACGGUACCCGCAAAAGAAGCCCCGGCUAACUUCGUG